rnacentral:tRNA from 1 species
GAGGGAAAAACUCAAUGGUUGAGUGUUAGUUUGUCGUACUAAAAGAUUCAGGUUCGAAUCCUGUUUCCCUCG